GUCGAACGGCAGCAUGAUCUAGCUUGCUAGAUUGAUGGCAAGUGGUGAACGGGUGAGUAAUACAUCGGAACGUGCCCUGUAGUGGGGGAUAACUAGUCGAAAGAUUAGCUAAUACCGCAUACGACCUGAGGGUGAAAGUGGGGGACCGCAAGGCCUCAUGCUAUAGGAGCGGCCGAUGUCUGAUUAGCUAGUUGGUGAGGUAAAGGCUCACCAAGGCGACGAUCAGUAGCUGGUCUGAGAGGACGAUCAGCCACACUGGGACUGAGACACGGCCCAGACUCCUACGGGAGGCAGCAGUGGGGAAUUUUGGACAAUGGGCGAAAGCCUGAUCCAGCAAUGCCGCGUGUGUGAAGAAGGCCUUCGGGUUGUAAAGCACUUUUGUCCGGAAAGAAAUGGCUCUGGUUAAUACCUGGGGUCGAUGACGGUACCGGAAGAAUAAGGACCGGCUAACUACGUGCCAGCAGCCGCGGUAAUACGUAGGGUCCAAGCGUUAAUCGGAAUUACUGGGCGUAAAGCGUGCGCAGGCGGUUGUGCAAGACCGAUGUGAAAUCCCCGAGCUUAACUUGGGAAUUGCAUUGGUGACUGCACGGCUAGAGUGUGUCAGAGGGGGGUAGAAUUCCACGUGUAGCAGUGAAAUGCGUAGAGAUGUGGAGGAAUACCGAUGGCGAAGGCAGCCCCCUGGGAUAACACUGACGCUCAUGCACGAAAGCGUGGGGAGCAAACAGGAUUAGAUACCCUGGUAGUCCACGCCCUAAACGAUGUCAACUAGUUGUUGGGGAUUCAUUUCCUUAGUAACGUAGCUAACGCGUGAAGUUGACCGCCUGGGGAGUACGGUCGCAAGAUUAAAACUCAAAGGAAUUGACGGG
rnacentral:rRNA from 1 species